rnacentral:snoRNA from 1 species
CACAAAACCACCGACAUCAACUCUCUCACUGAUUACUUGAUGACAAUAAAAGAUCUGAUAUUCUG